AUUGAACGCUGGCGGCAGGCCUAACACAUGCAAGUCGAACGGUAACAGGAAGAAGCUUGCUUCUUUGCUGACGAGUGGAGGACGGGUGAGUAAUGUCUGGGAAACUGCCUGAUGGAGGGGGAUAACUACUGGAAACGGUAGCUAAUACCGCAUAACGUCGCAAGACCAACGUGGGGGACCUUCGGGCCUCUUGCCAUCGGAUGUGCCCAGAUGGGAUUAGCUAGUAGGUGGGGUAACGGCUCACCUAGGCGACGAUCCCUAGCUGGUCUGAGAGGAUGACCAGCCACACUGGAACUGGAACACGGUCCAGACUCCUACGAGAGGCAGCAGUGGGGAAUAUUGCACAAUGGGCGCAAGCCUGAUGCAGCCAUGCCGCGUGUAUGAAGAAGGCCUUCGGGUUGUAAAGUACGUUCAGCGGGGAGGAAGGGAGUAAAGUUAAUACCUUUGCUCAUUGACGUUACCCGCAGAAGAAGCACCGGCUAACUCCGUG
rnacentral:rRNA from 1 species